rnacentral:rRNA from 1 species
UACGAGUGCUCCAAGCGUUAUCCGGAAUCAUUGGGCGUAAAGGGUGUGUAGGUGGUAGUGUUAGUCUUCUGUUAAAUUCUUCGGCUUAACCGGGGGCAUGCAGGGGAAACGGCACAACUAGAGGAUGCGAGAGGUACAUGGAACUCAUGGAGUAGGGGUGAAAUCCGUUGAUAUCAUGGGGAACACCAAAAGCGAAGGCAAUGUACUGGCGCACUCCUGACACUGAAACACGAAAGCGUAGGUAGCGAAUGGG